AGUGAACGCUGGCGGCAGGCCUAACACAUGCAAGUCGAACGGCAGCACAGUAAGAGCUUGCUCUUACGGGUGGCGAGUGGCGGACGGGUGAGGAAUACAUCCGAAUCUACUUUUUCGGGGGGGAUAACGUAGGGAAACUUACGCUCAUACAGCAUAUCAUGUACGGGUGAAAGCAGGGGAUCUUCGCACCUUUUGGGGUUGAAUUAGCCGCUGUCGGAUUUGUUAGUUGGCGGGGUAAAGGCCCAGCAAGGCGGCGAUCCGGAGACGAUCUGGGUGGAUGAUCGGCGACACUGGAACUGAGACACGGUCCAGACUCCUACGAGAGGCAGCAGUGGGGAAUAUUGGGCAAUGGGCGCAAGCCUUAUCCAGCCAUACCGCGUGGGUGAAGGAGACGUUCGGGUUGUAAUGCCCUUUUGUUGGUAAUAAAAAGCAGCAGGUUGAUACCCCGCUGUACUGACGGUACCCAAUAAAUAAGCACCGGCUAACUACGUG
rnacentral:rRNA from 1 species